ACACGCUACAAUGGUCUGUACAAUUGGUUGCCGAAGCCGCGAGGCGGAGCCAAUCCGUAAAGCAGGCCUCAGUUCAGAUUGCAGUCUGCAACUCGACUGCAUGAAGCCGGAGUUGCUAGUAACCGCAGGUCAGCAAUACUGCGGUGAAUACGUUCCCGGGUCUU
rnacentral:rRNA from 1 species